rnacentral:rRNA from 1 species
AGUGGCGGACGGGUGAGUAAUGUAUGAGCAAUCUAGCCCUUUCAUCGGGAUAACAUAGGGAAACUUAUGCUAAUACCGAAUAUGACCACGGUAUCGCAUGGUACUGCGGUGAAAGCUCCGGCGGAAAAGGAUGAGCUCAUAUCCUAUUAGUAGUGGGUGAGAUAACAGCCCACCAAGACAGCGAUGGGUAGCCGAGCUGAGAGGCUGAUCGGCCACAUUGGGACUGAAACACGGCCCAGACUUCUACGGAAGGCAGCAGUGGGGAAUAUUGGUCAAUGGAGGCAACUCUGAACCAAGCAAUGCCGCGUGAGUGAUGAAAAUCUUACGAUUGUAAAGCUCUAAACUUAGAGACGAUAAUGACGGUAUCUAAGGAUAAGCCCCGGCUAACUACGUGCCAGCAGCGGC